rnacentral:rRNA from 1 species
CUUGCUAAGUUUGAUGGCGACCGGCGCACGGGUGAGUAACACGUAUCCAACCUGCCGAUGACUCGGGGAUAGCCUUUCGAAAGAAAGAUUAAUACCCGAUGGCAUAGUUCUUCCGCAUGGUAGAACUAUUAAAGAAUUUCGGUCAUCGAUGGGGAUGCGUUCCAUUAGGUUGUUGGCGGGGUAACGGCCCACCAAACCUUCGAUGGAUAGGGGGUUCUGAGAGGAAGGUCCCCCACAUUGGAACUGAGACACGGUCCAAACUCCUACGGGAGGCAGCAUG